rnacentral:rRNA from 1 species
GACGAACGCUGGCGGCGUGCUUAACACAUGCAAGUCGAACGGAAAGGCCCUGCUUGCAGGGUACUCGAGUGGCGAACGGGUGAGUAACACGUGGGUGAUCUGCCCUGCACUUCGGGAUAAGCCUGGGAAACUGGGUCUAAUACCGGAUAGGAGCCAUUUUUAGUGUGAUGGUUGGAAAGUUUUUUCGGUGUAGGAUGAGCUCGCGGCCUAUCAGCUUGUUGGUGGGGUAAUGGCCUACCAAGGCGGCGACGGGUAGCCGGCCUGAGAGGGUGGACGGCAACAUUGGGACUGAGAGACGGACCAGACUCCUACGGGAGGCAGCAGUGGGGAAUAUUGCACAAUGGGCGCAAGCCUGAUGCAGCGACGCCGCGUGGGGGAUGACGGCCUUCGGGUUGUAAACUCCUUUCGCUAGGGACGAAGCUUUUUGUGACGGUACCUAGAUAAGAAGCACCGGCUAACUACGUG